rnacentral:rRNA from 1 species
GACGAACGCUGGCGGCGUGCUUAACACAUGCAAGUCGAACGGUGAAGCGCCUUCCUUUUUGGUGGGUGUGGAUGAGUGGCGAACGGGUGAGUAACACGUGAGUAACCUGCCCCCUUCUUCUGGAUAACCGCAUGAAAGUGUGGCUAAUGCGGGAUAUUCUGGGUCUGUCACAUGAUGGGUCUGGGAAAGAUAUUGUUUCGGUGGGGGAUGGGCUCGCGGCCUAUCAGCUUGUUGGUGGGGUGAUGGCCUACCAAGGCGGUGACGGGUAGCCGGCCUGAGAGGGUGGACGGUCACACUGGGACUGAGACACGGCCCAGACUCCUACGGGAGGCAGCAGUGGGGAAUAUUGCACAAUGGGCGCAAGCCUGAUGCAGCGACGCCGCGUGAGGGAUGGAGGCCUUCGGGUUGUGAACCUCUUUCGCCAGUGAAGCAGGCCUGCCUCGUUUGUGGGUGGGUUGACGGUAGCUGGAUAAGAAGCGCCGGCUAACUACGUG